GUUAGGAGAUGUUUAUUUACAAAGCAAGCCACCUCUGGCCAGGGAAUUGUGGGCGGAAGCUGCCAUAGGAAGCUAUCAGGUGAGUGGUCCAUCUAGGCUAGUGUCUCUGCACUAACCAGCAGCAACUCAGAGAGGGUCUCUCCAAGCCAUACCUGGAGAUUGAACCUAGAAGUCUCAGCAUGCAAAACAGAUGCUCUACCAUUGAGUUUCAACCCUACAACCAGGCUACCUCUACUGCAGGAAAUGUGUGCGCAUAGCCCCUCAGCAUCACCCCACAAUUUAAUGGGGUUUUUUCUUCUUUUGACUUGUUCAGGUCUGUAGAGGCAUGAGGCUCACAGUGGACGCAGGCACUUUCCCUGUCAAGCAUUCAGUACCUUGGACAGCUCCUGUGAAACUCCCUGGUGAGUUACGGUAUCUCUGCAAGGAACUAGAGACAGUGGAAGCCUUACGCUGAUCAAACCUGGACUGUGGUAGAGUGUGAUUCCUUUUCAAAGCUUAACAACAACCCCACAUAACUUGAUGAGCACUAUUACUAUGUAAUACAGUUCAUAAGUCUGUUUACAUCAGUAGCUAAUAUCAAUUGUGCAGCAUUUCAGCUGCCAUAUGCCACAUUUGCACCACACAUGUAAAGCUCUCAUCAGAGGUGGAUUUAGGGGAGCGCAACUGGUUCAGUCACCCUGGGCACAGAGAGUUGGAGGCACCGCAACUAUGAUGCAAAAGCAAAGGCGGGGGGGGGGAGAGAGACCAAAUUUUGGUGUUGCACAUGGUGCUGCUGAAAUUUGAGACCCCAAGGUCUGCCACCGCUCUCAUAUACCACUUUAACAGUUGCUGCUUCCUUAAAGGAAUCCUGGGAAUUGUAGUUUGUGGGUUUUUUAAAAAAAAAUGAGAAUAUUUCAAUUGAACAAACUAAAAGUGAAAGUGAAUAAACGAAACAAAACCCUGUAAUUUGUUGAGUGCCAAGUGUUGGUAGGAGACCCCUGUGCCCCUCACUGAGCCACAGUUUCCAGAGUGGUUUAAUAAUCAGUCCCGCUUCAUGGGGAACUCUGCAAGGUGCAUAUAUGGUCCUAGAGUCCCACAAAGAAAGAAGCAAAUGGGAAUUUAAGCAUGCUGAGAAUCCUCUGUUGGAUAUCCUUAACCCACCCCUGAACUACAAUUCCCAGAGUUCACUGGGGGGAGAGAAUUAUUAUUAAACCAGCUUUUAUGCAGAUAAAGUUCCAGAAUUUCAGUGGACCCAUCCAAACACAUCAAUGAACCCCAAGCUCAAAAUCCAUACCUGCUUUGGGAAUCAGAAAGAAGUGCUGGGGUGAGGGCUUGUUUUUGAUAGCAAAGAAAACAUUACACGUAUUGCAGCCGAGUACAAAAACUGUGAUCUCUAUAAAAAAAAGUUAAUAAUGGAAAAUCCAGGCAUAAUUCAUGUUUGUAAAAGGAGGGGGCAAAACCCGAGAGCUAAUGAGAAGCAAAUUGGCCAGAGCAAGUUUAGCAGUGGCAUUCCCUUUUAAUGUUCCAGCUGCCAUCCUUUCUUAAAGCCGUGCAGCUGUAUCAAAUAAUGACCUGCAAUUUGUAAUAUGGGUGUUUAUUAUUAUUUUUUUCUUUCUAUGUUUCCCCCCUUAAAUUAAUAAGGUAUCUCUUGUAAUAAAACUGGUCUGCUGGGAAGGUUGGCUCAAUUGCACCACCCACUGGGACGAAAGCACACAGCGUUAUAAACCUCAAUGCAAUCAGGAAGACAUUCAUUCUGUGCAGAAUGUCUCUCUUUACACUGCCUGUGCAGUUUGCUGCCGUCGUUCCUCUCUCCUUAUCCCCACUUUGCAUAAGACGCACCGCACAAAGGAAAAUGUCUCAAGCCACCGUCAUCUGUAUUCUUCUAUAGCUGCAAAAGGCAGGUUAAGACACAGCGUGAGAGGCUGCCUCCUGGAUGUAUUUGGAUUGAGGAAUGAAAAAGGAGAGCAUUUCUGCUUUUAUGGGAGGGUAUAUACCCUCCCCCCUUUUCUUCCUCACAUUACAAUGAAGGGCUUAAGUGAUCUAACUGCAGAUCAUUUUUUAUUUAUUGGUGAGAAGGCUUCCCUUUCUGGCUUCUGUCACCUCCGAUUAGUAAACACCAACGGCUCCAGGAAUAUGUUGUCUGUUCCGUCACCGCAACCCACAGAAUCGAGCCAUUUGAGAGACAGAGCGAGUGAGCUGUAGCGUGGAGGGAGCAGAAGAGGGGAAGGGAAGCAGACACGGAAGUUCACCCUGUCAAACUUGGAAAACUGAAAGGACCACAAGGCAUGGCUAAUGAAAAAUUCCUGCUCACUCUACACAGGUGGGAUGCUUUCAUGUCAAAAAAGCUUGCCCCUCCCAAUAAGUCUUGCUUCCGAACCAUUUUAACGCAAGUAUAUGUAGCAUGCAGCUGUAAUAUUACCCUCUCCCCCCUCCCGAAAAAAACCCAAUGAAAGGCAAGAUUUCAAGGUCACAAAGCAGGGAAGAGCUUUGAAAUUAAAUCCUACUGUAAGGGGAAUGGUUAAAGGGCUCCUUUUUAUCAUCCUUGUGUUGCUCUCUGGGUUAGGGAUAGGGGAUUCAGUUUGCAUUUAAAUGCAAAUUGAUCUAAUAUGUGGAUCCAAACACAGCUGCCCUUCAAAAUUCAUGCUUCUCCGCAUUUGGCAAUGUAGUUCUCCCAUGAAGUAAUGUGUACAAAAUGUGUUAUAAAGGCCAUUGCCCUUUUUCAUGGAGUUUGUGUCAAAGCAUGCACUGGCCAAGUGUGCAUAAGCCCAUCCUGCCCCAUUUCUCCCUCUUCCAGGUCCAAAAGGAGCCACACAUUGGCAGUUGGAUGUCAAUCGGACACACCUAAAAUGGUUGCCACUCGUAUUGCAUGACCAGGCGUGACAGCCCCAACUCCCAGGGAACAUAGGAAAGGAAAUAAAGACUCUGACAACGUUAUGGAAUUAAAAUUAGGCCACAACUUUAUUAAACUUCUGAAUGUAGGAAGACCUUGGCUUAGGUCUUGAGCUUGUAUCCCUCCCAGCCAGGGGGAACUGGGGUUCAUAGGGUAAAUGGGAUAUGGGGGUGCUCUGUGAGACGUAAUUGUAGGCAGGCAGCCCAGCCCAUAUCCCCACACACAGGGUAGUUCACUGACAACCUUUCAGUCUAUGGCCAGUGACACCUAUUUAUGUAACCCUUUAAGAGGGGGACCCUGGAAUCGUCACCACAGGGGGGUGAGUAACCACUUCAAAGGCCCCCCCCCCAUUAUAGGGAAGAAAAGACUAAAGGAUUCCACCCAAGGCCAUAACCGCCAAAGUUGUGAUGAAUUGCUAUGGGGAAGACAAAACCUGCCAAUGCAGGAAAAUUUCUUCCCAGUCCUUCAACAGCAACCAGUCAAAGACCACAGCAGCACCCACUAAAAAGGAAGAAAAAGUUAACCUGCAAGCAAGAACAUUAACAAAGGGAGGGUGAAUCUCCAGAGCCGUCUGCCUGGGAGUGAACCGUCUGAAGCUGGGAGUGAACCUCUGAAUAAUACACUGAGAAGCAGGCCAGCCCCCUUCUACUAGCAAGUUUCCUGGGAACUGUAGCACCUCACGUGAUCCCGCAAAAGGCACCCACAAUAUAGCGUGAGUGCUCAUUAGGAUAAAAUGCAGAUAUUCAUGAAAAUAACAAACAUGCAUUGUUCUGGCGAAAAUGUUUUGCAAAAAAUGUGUAUAUUAACUAAACUGCAUACAAAAAUCUGUGCAUUAGCAGAAACUUACACAAAAAUGUGGGGGGGGGAUUCAUACUUUUUUUAAAAAAAAGAAGAAAAUUGUCGUGGAAAUAUGGAGAACUGUUCUUUAGGGUGGAAAAGUAAGAAACCGAAAUUGACCAAUUUGCCCAUCCCUUAUCUCAGAUACAUCACAACAGAAGCCCACUCAUCUUCUCAAGAGCUGCAUGCACAAGCCGCGGCUAAUUUUUUGUACUUUUCUUUUUAUAUAUCUUUUGCUUGGGAGGGACCAUGGGAAACACUGGAUCUUCCUCUCUGAGCUUUGAGAGGGAGACCUAAUGUUGGAUGCUGUAUCUCGGCCACUGCAAAAAAUAUCUGUGGCCCCUGCCCUGCUAAUGUCAGAGCUCUGAUGUCAGUAAGGCAGAAAAGGGGACAUGCUCAGGGCUGGCUAGGGAAAAGUUUGGAUCCUAAACUAGGGCCCAAACUACGCCAGUUUGAGCUGGCAUAGUUUAUUUCCUUCCCAUUGUUCACAAUGGGAUUUAUAAUAUAUAGAGAGAGAAUAUGGAAAAAGAGAAAGGGACAGACAAGUGCUCCUGUGCUAAUAAUUCUAUGAAAGCCUGGCAGAGCGUUGGAUGAGGUGGCUCAAUGGCUUUGGUUUCCCCCACCAUGCCCUUUAGGAUUGCAUCCAUACUCACUUUUCUAUUAUGAAAAACAGGUUACAGUACAGGAAGGGAGCAUAAAACUGACCAGGCAAACAUCAACAGGUCAACAUACCACCUACAGUGAUACAAUGAAGCUGCCUUUCAAAUCAAGCUCUAAAUAAUAAUAAGAGUUUUCCAAAAUGACUUG